UGGAAUAAGACCUGUCCCUACCAAGGUGCUACAUGUCCUUUUGAUUAAUGACCAGCAUUUUCUUCUUAAAAUACAGUGCACAAAAGAAGGAUUUUGAAAAUUCUUAGCCUUGAGGAGAGAUGGUUCCUGAUCCCAGGGAUAAGAUUUGGUGUAGCCAUGCCCUGUGAGCCCUGCCUGACGUGCCAUCAGAUACGUGGAGAAAAACGAAGGAACUAAGGACAGUGAGACAAGGAGGAGCUGCUGCUUCAGGCUUAUCUGACACUGGUCAAGGACACCGAGAAAGUCUCUUUCUCAGGUAUUGCCUGUGGAGCUUGGGAAGGAACUCGUGACCCUGGGCUCUCCUACAUCAUCCUGUGAACAGGGCCACCAGUGUUUGCAAUGUUAAAUCAUGAAGUCCCCAGCCUACAGAGCAAUCGCCAAAAUGAUGAGUGGUUAUACGGCAGAAAUCUGAGUUCUAGGAUGCAGGAGACAGCUGCAGUAUAUCUGGCAUGUCCACAGACACCAACUGGUCUAGUUUUGAAAAGGAAGCCCUAGUCUAGCCCUCAGCAGGACCAGCCAAUGGUCCUCUCCCAUCUCCCACUGACCUCCCCAGUGACCUCAAGGCAAGUUCUUCUGCGUGGAGACUGGAAAAUCCUGUCGUGCCCUAGCAUCGCUUUAAGAAUUUAAGAGUUUCUCAGAUUGAAGUGCAUGUGCUCUGAGGAGAGUGUGUGCGCAAAGUUACAUGACAAAUGUUGCAAUUUUAACUUGCAGAUUAAAAUAUACAUAUUUUUAUACGAAACCAAACAUACUACGACCUAGAAUGAAAAAUGAAUGAGUUUUCACGAUUAAAUAUGAGACUUUCGUGAAAUUUUGUGGGGCUCUGUUGGUUUUAUCUUAGAAUAAGGAAAGGAGUUGGCUUAUUGUCUACUAUUAGGACUCUUGGAUGAAAAAUCUUAGAAUUUAUAUGUCUAAUCCAUACUUAUUUUAUAACUGAAGAAACUGAGGCUCAAACAGAUGAAAUGUCUUGUUCUAAUCCCCCAGACUGGUAGACAUGUUAGUGUCCUACCCAAUAGCCAUUCCCAUUCUGACACCAUCCCCUUUAUUAAACUACAGAGCCCCAGUUAUGUUUGGGGCACCAAUGUGUCAGGCUGCAAAUACUGGCUUUCUCAGAAUCCCUUGUAGUUAGGAUGAGCCAUGCAGUACAGUUCCGUCCAAUAGCACAUAAAUGGAGGUUUCCGGGAAAAUUUUGCUUCCUUGACUCAGAUGUCCCCUCCUUUUUCUUCUCUUCUUCCUUCAUAUUUAUGUCUGAAACAUGGAAGUGAGAUCUGGAGGGGCUGCAGCCAUUUUGUGCUAGAAGGCAACAAAUGUUCAGGCUGAAUGCCAUCAUGCUGGGAAUGGUGAGGCAGGAAUGACUUUUGGUCCCUGACAGCAUGAUUGAGCAGCUCUCCAAUUCUGGACUGCCUAGACUCAGACUCCAUGAUAUGUGAGAACAAUCAACACCUGUUUUUGAAGCCCUUUUAAUUGUUUCCGUUAUAAGAAAAUGAUUUCCUGACUGAUAUGCCCAGUCAUCUCAUUUAGGAAGACAGGAUUUUGGUCUUAUAAAAAAUGUAUAGGUAUAUAAAUAUAUCUACAGAGAAAUUGUUUAUGGACCUUCUCAUUUAUAAAAGCAUUCAAGUGAUUAAUAAUAUUGAUGAUAAGAUUUCUAAUUAAUAUAUCCUUUUAUUUCUAUGUGUUAUAGUUGCAAUUCAAUAUUAUUUCAAAGAAAACUAAUAAUAAUUGUAUAGAGUACAAUAUUUUCAAAAUGCUUUGUGAUGUAUACAUGGUUUCCUUCACCACACUCAUUCCACCAUCUAGACUAAACUAUAAGGAAUUCUCUAAGGAAUGAGGGGGUUGGUACCACCUGCACCACUGAAGUUCCUAAGGAAGCCAUGAUGGAGAGUAAAUCCCCAGUCUCACCAGAGAGUAAGGGGAAGGGGAAGUCCUUUCGGUUUGGAAAGAAGGGAUAGUAAUCAGUCAAGUGUGAGGAUCCUGACUCUUUUUAUUGAGGUAAGCAGCCAAGGGAGCCUAUGGUAUGGUAUAGUUUGGAUAUUUGUUCUCUCCAAAUCUCAUGUCAAAAUGUAAUCCCCCAUACUGGAGAUGGAGCCUGGAGGGAGGUGUUUGGGUCAUGGGGCAGAUCCCUGGAUAAAUGGCUUGGUGCCAUCCCUGCGGUAAUGAAUGAAUUCUUGCUCUAUCAGUUUACACAAGACCUGAUUGUUAAAAAGAGCCUGGCAACUCCUCCUCUUUUUCCUUCUCUCUCGCCAUGUGAUGCCUACUCCUCUUCCUCUUCCGUCAUGAUUGGAAGCUCCUUGAAACCCUCCCCAGAAGCA
rnacentral:lncRNA from 10 species